rnacentral:rRNA from 1 species
AGCAGCCGCGGUAAUUCCAGCUACAAUAGCGUAUAUUAAAGUUGUUGCAGUUAAAAAGCUCGUAGUUGAAUUUCGGGGUUCUACCGUUGGUCGGGCAAUAGUCUGUACUGGCGUGUAGAAUUUCUACCUUCUGGGGAACUAUCAUGUUAUUUAUUUAGCGUGGUAGGAAACCAGGACCUUUACCUUGAAAAAAUUAGAGUGUUCAAAGCAGGCUUACGUCUGAAUACAUUAGCAUGGAAUAAUAAAAUAGGGCGGUGGUCCUGUUUUGUUGGUUUCUGAAUCACCGUAAUGAUUAAUAGGGAUAGUUGGGGGCAUUAGUAUUCAAUUGUCAGAGGUGAAAUUCUUGGAUUUAUUGAAGACUAACUUCUGCGAAAGCAUUUGCCAAGUAUGUUUUCAUUAAUCAAGAACCGAAAGUUAGGGGAUCGAAGACGAUCAGAUACCGUCGUAGUCUUAACCAUAAACUAUGCCGACUAGGGAUCGGACGAUGUUAAUUUUUUUGACUCG